rnacentral:rRNA from 1 species
UGCGUAGGGCGCAAGCGUUGUCCGGAAUUAUUGGGCGUAAAGAGCUCGUAGGCGGUUUGUCGCGUCUGCUGUGAAAACUCGAGGCUCAACCUCGGGCUUGCAGUGGGUACGGGCAGACUAGAGUGCGGUAGGGGAGACUGGAAUUCCUGGUGUAGCGGUGGAAUGCGCAGAUAUCAGGAGGAACACCGAUGGCGAAGGCAGCUCUCUGGGACGGUACUGACGCUGAGACGCGAAAGCGUGGGGAGCGAACAGG